rnacentral:rRNA from 1 species
AAGGCCCUUCGGGGUACUCGAGUGGCGAACGGGUGAGUAACACGUGGGUGAUCUGCCCUGCACUUUGGGAUAAGCCUGGGAAACUGGGUCUAAUACCGAAUACACCCUGCUGGUCGCAUGGCCUGGUGGGGGAAAGCUUUUGCGGUGUGGGAUGGGCCCGCGGCCUAUCAGCUUGUUGGUGGGGUGAUGGCCUACCAAGGCGACGACGGGUAGCCGGCCUGAGAGGGUGACCGGCCACACUGGGACUGAGAUACGGCCCAGACUCCUACGGGAGGCAGCAGUGGGGAAUAUUGCACAAUGGGCGCAAGCCUGAUGCAGCGACGCCGCGUGGGGGAUGACGGCCUUCGGGUUGUAAACUCCUUUCGCCAGGGACGAAGCGCAAGUGACGGUACCUGGAGAAGAAGGACCGGCCAACUACGUGCCAGCAGCCGCGGUAAUACGUAGGGUCCGAGCGUUGUCCGGAAUUACUGGGCGUAAAGAGCUCGUAGGUGGUUUGUCGCGUUGUCCGUGAAAACUCACAGCUUAACUGUGGGCGUGCGGGCGAUACGGGCAGACUAGAGUACUGCAGGGGAGACUGGAAUUCCUGGUGUAGCGGUGGAAUGCGCAGAUAUCAGGAGGAACACCGGUGGCGAAGGCGGGUCUCUGGGCAGUAACUGACGCUGAGGAGCGAAAGCGUGGGGAGCGAACAGGAUUAGAUACCCUGGUAGUCCACGCCGUAAACGGUGGGUACUAGGUGUGGGUUUCCUUCCUUGGGAUCCGUGCCGUAGCUAACGCAUUAAGUACCCCGCCUGGGGAGUACGGCCGCAAGGCUAAAACUCAAAGGAAUUGACGGGGGCCCGCACAAGCGGCGGAGCAUGUGGAUUAAUUCGAUGCAACGCGAAGAACCUUACCUGGGUUUGACAUGCACAGGACGCCGGCAGAGAUGUCGGUUCCCUUGUGGCCUGUGUGCAGGUGGUGCAUGGCUGUCGUCAGCUCGUGUCGUGAGAUGUUGGGUUAAGUCCCGCAACGAGCGCAACCCUUGUCUCAUGUUGCCAGCACGUAAUGGUGGGGACUCGUGAGAGACUGCCGGGGUCAACUCGGAGGAAGGUGGGGAUGACGUCAAGUCAUCAUGCCCCUUAUGUCCAGGGCUUCACACAUGCUACAAUGGCCGGUACAAAGGGCUGCGAUGCCGUGAGGUGGAGCGAAUCCUUUCAAAGCCGGUCUCAGUUCGGAUCGGGGUCUGCAACUCGACCCCGUGAAGUCGGAGUCGCUAGUAAUCGCAGAUCAGCAACGCUGCGGUGAAUACGUUCCCGGGCCUUGUACACACCGCCCGUCACGUCAUGAAAGUCGGUAACACCCGAAGCCGGUGGCCUAACCCCUUGUGGGAGGGAGCCGUCGAAG